rnacentral:lncRNA from 1 species
UAUUCAACUAUUCUCUAUAAAUUGAUAUGCUUUAAGGUAGUUUACAAUUUGUCUGCUAUUUUUUAACAAAGAUAACCUAAUUCAAUCCCCAAUACUAACAGCAUUGAACAUACAUAAAUUACUAACUCAUAUCGUAGUUGAUUUCAUUCUAAUGAAAGUAAAAAAAAAAAAAAACAGAGCACUGUGUUGAAUUGAACAGUUAUUUCAUUUCAAAUAAAGUAACAACGCAAAGAAAACCUAACGAGUAAAAGCAUACACAACAACAGUAACAUAAACCAGAAGCGCAAUAGGAACAAAGAUGAAAAGCGGAACAACCGCCGCUAAAGCAUGCGGACUCCCACAAGCAAGCGUUCCGAGCUUAAUCUGCACAACAUUCGCCAGCGCAAGCAUAAGAAAAGCGCAACCGGAAGCAGAUCCGAUACCGGAAACAAGCAUACCGACGCGGAGAGCAGAUCUGUUGAUAUGAGCUACAGCGGAGGAAGUGCGGGAGAGACGGAUAGCUUGUUUGAGUG